rnacentral:pre_miRNA from 1 species
UUGACUUCUCUGCUAUCCCUUUUCAAGUUGUCCCCAUGCUUUCCCUUCAAAACGACAUCGUUUUGAAGGGAAAGCACAGGGAAAGCUUGAAAAGGGACAGCAGAGAAGCCAA